UUCUACUUAUUUACUUACUGACUUCUGCUUUUGGGGAUCAAGACUUGCUAACUUCGAAGCCUGAGUUCAGUUGAAUGAAGAAGACCGCUUUUUAUGCUUUGUUUUGCGUUCAAGAUUUGAGCAAGAUCUUUGACUAAACAUACAUAAAUCUCUGGCUUCAACCAACAACUUUUCUGACAUGCAUUUUCUGGAGAAUGUAAGACCAAUGUC